UUCAUAAUUCUGGCAUCUCUCGCUCGAUCGCGCGCGCGCGGUGUACCCGAAUGGCACUCUCUCUCCGUCUCCCUUCACUGAUCACGGCCGGCGUCGCAUCCCGCCGUCGUCCACCGCCUCCGCUCUCACGUACCAACCCUAACCAAAAAUCCCUCCUUCAAGGAACUUCCUCCUCUGGCAACGCCGCGCUUCAGUGCGAGCAUUUCCAAUCGUGCUCGGGUUGCUCGCAUGAAUUUGCUCUGGAUCGGCCUUCGGUACUGCAAGAAGUGAACAGUUUCUUCGAGGAGCACGGUGUGCAGGAUUUCAGCUUCGAGAACGGUCGUCUGUGGGGAUGGCGAUGCCGUGCUAAGCUCGCCGUCCGAGGCUCGCCGGAUAGUCCGCUCAUUGGGCUCUAUCAAGAGGGCUCUCAUAAUGUGGUAGAUAUUCCCCUCUGCAAAGCCCAUCAUCCAAAUAUCAAUGCAGCAGUUAAUCUCUUAAAACAAGGUAUUACGACUUUGAAUAUUCAGCCAUAUGAUGAAGAUUCAGGAUUUGGUGAACUGCGAUAUGCGCAGAUGGCUGUUACCACACGUAACACAUCUCUCCCUUUAGCAGAACGGUAUCUAAAAGGGAAAGUGCAAGUUUCAUUGGUUUGGAAUUCUAGAAAUGAACAAUCACAGAAUGCUGAGAAGUUGAAUUCCUUGAUGGAAUUCUUGUGGAAAAAUGGUGGACCAAACAGCAACGCUCAUUUAAUCCAUUCCAUAUGGGUUAACUUUCAGACCUCAAGCACUAAUAUAAUUUUUGGAAAUAGGUGGAGACAUUUUUUGGGGGAAAGGGAUUUCUGGGAACAUGUUGGUGGGGUUGAUAUCUCCUUGGACCCAUCAAGUUUUGGUCAGGCAAAUACACAGGCUUUUGAUUCCUUACUGAGAAAAUUGCAAAAGUAUGUUCCCUAUGGGUCAUCUGUUACUGAUUUAUAUGCUGGGGCUGGUAUUAUUGGAUUAUCUAUAGCUUCAAUAAGGAAAUGCAGGUCAGUCAAAUGUGUUGAGAUCAAUAAAGAAUCUAAACAAUCUUUUGAGAAGUCAUUGAGCCGUUUACUGAAGAGUGUGGAUGGUAGCAUCAGUUGGCAUAACACAGAUGCAUCAAUUGAACCCCUUCAUUGGCUGGAGGGAUCAGAUGUUGUUGUUGUUGAUCCUCCGAGAAAAGGUUUGGACCCCUCUCUUGUUGCUGCAUUAAAGGCUGCCGCAUGUUUCAGUGGGAAAACUUCUAAGUCAGCUCAAAGUUCUGUUCUGAAGGUGAAAGAAGAAAAGAGGCCAUGGAUUUUAAGAGCAAGGAAAGCUGCAGUUCAAAUGGACAGCAAAACAGCCUGUGAUAGAAGUGAAACAUGGCCUCAAACACUUAUCUAUAUAAGCUGUGGAUGGGAAAGCUUCAAAGAGGACUGCAAAUCUUUGUUGGCUGAUAAGUCUUGGCAUUUAGAGAAAGCCCAUGCUUUCAAUUUUUUCCCGGGCACAGACAGCAUUGAAGUUCUAGCUGUGUUUAAGUGCGGUCCCCGAGUAGCUCAGAAGAAGAAAAAAGGGAAAAAGAAGACUUCAUAGGUCAAGGCAACUCAGGGAAUUCAGUUGUGUUUGAAAAGAAAUUCUCAUGCUGACUUGAUGAUGGCAAGGUAGUUCGCUUUCUCUUGAUUUGAAGGAAUGUAGAGUUAAACUGUAAUGGACAGUGUUCAAUCUGAUGUGUAUCAAAAUUCAAGAUGUUAACAAGACAAGAAUGGUCCAUCACCAUGUCCCAGUACGAUGUAAAAUGGUACAGAUUGAAGCAAAAAAAGUCUUAAUCUUGGAGGCACGUCUCUGGCAUGAGAUGGUUUAGAGUUUUGAGUGGUAGAAUUGAAGGGCUGGCAUAAAAACUUUGAGCACUGUGAUCUUAUUAAGUAAUUGUAUGAUUGAUGCUUGCCUCUUGUAAAAUCAAGGUGAAUAGUUUCUGUUUUAGGUUGAACUGAGCCCACCAAGUGUUUGGUUCCCAUUUAAAAAUGAUAUCAGUGAGUUUGUUUUUAGUCAUUUCAACUUAUAAAAUAUUCCAAAUUUGAUGAAUUUGCACCAGUAACCUUGCAUUUCCACAGGAAAUUCUUACCUUAAGUUCGGGGUAAAAGAACCGACAUUUGGGAAACCCCUGUAAAAACGCCAAUGCUAAUGUCUGUGAACUCAUCCUUGGUUUCUAUACAAACCGAGUCUUUGACAUUAUAGUGAAGUGGAUUUUGAAGUCAUUAACAUAUCAUGUGACAUCAAGAUGUUGAUGCAAGUA